CGCUACAUGCAAUAUUGUCGUAGCAUAGGCUAUAAUCUAAACGCGAUGAAGUUUAAAACAAAGUUAGGCUAGUUGUAGCCUAUCGCUGACUGCGGCGCCGCAUGUUCUUCAUAAAACUCGUUAUGCUAGCUGUGCCAUGAGAGGGUUAGACCAGUGCAAUACACACUAGGUUGAUAAAAUGUUCAGAGACGGGAAAUUAAUAUUGCUCGUUUAUUAAAACGUGCCUCUGCAGAGACAACACAACAACACCGCCUCCAACAGAACCCGAAGAGGACGUUGCAUCGCUUAUGUUCCCACAAAGCCUUGCAAGCGACCUUACAAUGAAAUUUAAUACGUUUUUUUACGUUUCGGCGCCAUUUUCGAUUGGGCUGGAGGUGUUUUGAAGGUCUUUCAUGACCACGCCCAUCAGCUGGCUGCUUGUAGCAUCCAUAUAGACCACAGGGAGCUGUUGCUCAGGCAGUUCUGCGGUGAAGGGCAGCGCGGUUUCGUGGCAGUCGCAGCCUCUGGGUGGGAACACGGAGAGACCGGAGGCGCAAGACGAGCAUCAGAGACCGCUCGCGCCCAGUGUUUGACACGACCGGAGAACAGGGAUGUGGGAUCUUGGUUGUCCACGAAGUCCCAGCAAUUACCCUUGAUCUCUGGGCUAAUUAGCUGUAUGCACCAAUGCAGAUUCACUCAAAUUAGACCGCAGUAAAAUGUUUCAUUUCGGCACUUAACAACAGCCUUUGGCCGUAAUUCACAAGCCAAUUGCUAAAUGUUGCUGAAAUGUCAGAUAAAUGAUUGGGUUAGUUAAUCAAGAGCAGACGUUGGGCUAAAAUUCAGAAACGGGACAGUCGUCCAGAAAAAGGGCUCCUCACCCCUGUGUUACCAACUGAAGCAGGGCUCCUAUAGAUUAACUCUUUUUUUUUGUACAUUUUUGUUUGCUCUUUAUCAGCCUGUGUCAGUCGUUUCCUGGCCUCCCGCAGCUCAGCGGUGACGUGUUGAGUCUGGCGAAAAACGGACGCGCACGUGCGAACGCACACACGUUUGUCGUUUUGUAGUAACGCCGCCGAUAGAGGCUGGUGAGGCCUGGUGAGAGGCGGUGUGCGGACCAGCCGUCACCGCAGACGCUGAAGCAUUUUACACGGCCGUGGCACUUGUGUGGGGGAGGGGAGUUUUCUCAUUGAGGUGGGGAGAGAUGUGUGUACACUCGGGACUUCCCCCUCCCGCACGGAUAGUCACCACAGAUGUAUUCGCACCCCCAACGCUGUCAACUGUACGGCGGGAGACGAAGCCAGCCGCGAUUGGUCCUUCAGCGCGUCCUCCGCUCCAGAAAUCUUAAAACCUGAAUAUGUGGUCUGCUGUAAUCGGCCCGUGCUUGGUGCGAUGUUCUCUGAAACAGAGCUGGCUCAACCGCUUUAAAAGCCUAAUUCAAGUGAGUGUUCAUCACUGCACAUGUACAGUUUGAGUGUGAAGAUAUUGAAAUUGU